GACGAACGCUGGCGGCGUGCUUAACACAUGCAAGUCGAGCGGAAAGGCCACUUCGGUGGUACUCGAGCGGCGAACGGGUGAGUAACACGUGAGUAAUCUGCCCUUGGCUUUGGGAUAGCCACCGGAAACGGUGAUUAAUACCGGAUACGACCACUUCUCGCAUGGGAUGGUGGUGGAAAGUUUUUUCGGACAGGGAUGUGCUCGCGGCCUAUCAGCUUGAUGGUGAGGUAACGGCUCACCAUGGCUUCGACGGGUAGCCGGCCUGAGAGGGUGACCGGUCACACUGGGACUGAGACACGGCCCAGACUCCUACGGGAGGCAGCAGUGGGGAAUAUUGGACAAUGGGCGGAAGCCUGAUCCAGCAACGCCGCGUGAGGGAUGACGGCCUUCGGGUUGUAAACCUCUUUCAGCAGGGACGAAGCGCAAGUGACGGUACCUGCAGAAGAAGCACCGGCCAACUACGUGCCAGCCGCCGCCGUAAGAC
rnacentral:rRNA from 1 species